rnacentral:rRNA from 1 species
UACGUAGGGGGCUAGCGUUGCUCGGAAUCACUGGGCGUAAAGCGCACGUAGGCGGCUUGUUAAGUCAGGGGUGAAAUCCUGGAGCUCAACUCCAGAACUGCCUUUGAUACUGGCAAGCUUGGAGUCCGGGAGAGGUGAGUGGAACUGCGAGUGUAGAGGUGAAAUUCGUAGAUAUUCGCAAGAACCCCAGUGGCGAAGGCGGCUCACUGGCCCGGUACUGACGCUGAGGUGCGAAAGCCUGGGGAGCAAACAGG